GACGAACGCUGGCGGCGUGCUUAACACAUGCAAGUCGAACGGAAAGGCCCUGCUUUUGUGGGGUGCUCGAGUGGCGAACGGGUGAGUAACACGUGAGUAACCUGCCCUUGACUUUGGGAUAACUUUAGGAAACUGGGGCUAAUACCGGAUAGGAGCUCCUGCUGCAUGGUGGGGGUUGGAAAGUUUCGGCGGUUGGGGAUGGACUCGCGGCUUAUCAGCUUGUUGGUGGGGUAGUGGCUUACCAAGGCUUUGACGGGUAGCCGGCCUGAGAGGGUGACCGGCCACAUUGGGACUGGGAUACGGCCCAGACUCCUACGGGAGGCAGCAGUGGGGAAUAUUGCACAAUGGGCGGAAGCCUGAUGCAGCAACGCCGCGUGCGGGAUGACGGCCUUCGGGUUGUAAACCGCUUUCGCCUGUGACGAAGCGUGAGUGACGGUAAUGGGUAAAGAAGCACCGGCUAACUACGUG
rnacentral:rRNA from 1 species